AACGCACCUUGCGCUCCCUGGUAUUCCGGGGAGCAUGUCUGUUUGAGUGUCAUGAACUCUUCAACCCACCGGUUUCUUGUAAACUGGCUGGUGUUUGGUUUCUGAGUGUUGCUCGUCCUUGUGACUGAGCUCAUUCGUAAUAUAUGAGCAUCUCUAAUUCGAAUUCGGAUUGACUCAGUGUAAUAGACUAUUCGCCGAGGACACACCUAGUGUGGCCGAAUAAGAUAAUUGUAGAAGCUUCUAACCCUCCUAGUCAUUUUAAGAUUAGACCUCAGAUCAGAUAGGACUACCCGCUGAACUUAA
rnacentral:misc_RNA from 1 species